rnacentral:rRNA from 1 species
GUAUGCGGCCAUGCCACCCUGAACGCGCCAGAUCUCAUCUGAUCUUGGACGCUAAGCAGGGUCAGGCCUGGUUAGUCCUUGGACAGCAGAUGAUAGCCACAUGGG